AGUGAACGCUGGCGGUAGGCCUAACACAUGCAAGUCGAACGGCAGCACAGUAAGAGCUUGCUCUUACGGGUGGCGAGUGGCGGACGGGUGAGGAAUACAUCGGAAUCUACUUUUUCGUGGGGGAUAACGUAGGGAAACUUACGCUAAUACCGCAUACGACCUACGGGUGAAAGCAGGGGAUCUUCGGACCUUGCGCGAUUGAAAGAGCCGAUGUCGGAUUAGCUAGUUGGCGGGGUAAAGGCCCACCAAGGCGACGAUCCGUAGCUGGUCUGAGAGGAUGAUCAGCCACACUGGAACUGAGACACGGUCCAGACUCCUACGGGAGGCAGCAGUGGGGAAUAUUGGACAAUGGGCGCAAGCCUGAUCCAGCUAUACCGCGUGGGUGAAGAAGGCCUUCGGGUUGUAAAGCCCUUUUGUUGGGAAAGAAAAGCAGCAGGUUAAUACCCCGCUGUUCUGACGGUACCCAAAGAAUAAGCACCGGCUAACUUCGUG
rnacentral:rRNA from 1 species